rnacentral:rRNA from 1 species
CACGGGGGGAGCAAGCGUUGUUCGGAAUCACUGGGCGUAAAGGGCGUGUAGGCGGUCAGGUAAGUGGGACGUGAAAUGCCUCGGCUCACCCGAGGAGCGGCGUCCCAAACUGCUUGGCUUGAGUAUGGGAGAGGAUGUGGGAAUUCCUGGUGUAGCGGUGAAAUGCGUAGAUAUCAGGAGGAACACCGGUGGCGAAGGCGCACAUCUGGCCCAAUACUGACGCUGAGGCGCGAAAGCUAGGGGAGCAAACGGG